GGAUUCCAAGUGCUCAUGGUUUUCCAUGGGCUGUUUUCCUGCCUAAAUAGCAGGGAGAGUAAGGGCUGGGUAAGACGGGUGCCAGCCGCCGCGGUAAUACCCGCAGCUCGAGUGGUGAUCGUUCUUAUUGGGCCUAAAGCGUCCGUAGCCGGCUCAGUAAAUCCUUGGGUAAAUCGGGCAGCUUAACUGUCCGACUUCCGGGGAGACUGCUGAGCUUGGGACUGGGAGAGGUAGGAGGUACUCCGGGGGUAGAGGUGAAAUUCUGUAAUCCCCGGGGGACCACCAGUGGCGAAGGCGUCCUACUUGAACGGGUCCGACGGUGAGGGACGAAGCCCUGGGGCACAAACCGGAUUAGAUACCCGGGUAGUCCAGGGUGUAAACGCUGCGGGCUUGGUGUUGGGGGUCCUACGUGGGCGCUCAGUGCCGGAGAGAAGUUGUUAAGCCCGCCGCCUGGGAGUACGUCGCAAGAC
rnacentral:rRNA from 1 species